rnacentral:piRNA from 1 species
GGGGAUAAUAGCACUACCUACCAAGUGC